CUAAGUGGGCUUGAUUGUGGGGAAAACUCCAAAGUUAAGCCCGCUUGAGCCAGAGGCGUCUUGGGAUGGGUGACCACCUGGGAAGUUCUGGUUACCGGGU
rfam:Picea glauca, whole genome shotgun sequence.